rnacentral:rRNA from 1 species
AAAGCGUAAUAGCUCACUGGUCGAGUCGGCCUGCGCGGAAGAUGUAACGGGGCUAAACCAUGCACCGAAGCUGCGGCAGCGACGCUUAUGCGUUGUUGGGUAGGGGAGCGUUCUGUAAGCCUGUGAAGGUGGCCUGUGAGGGUUGCUGGAGGUAUCAGAAGUGCGAAUGCUGACAUAAGUAACGAUAAAGCGGGUGAAAAGCCCGCUCGCCGGAAGACCAAGGGUUCCUGUCCAACGUUAAUCGGGGCAGGGUGAGUCGACCCCUAAGGCGAGGCCGAAAGGCGUAGUCGAUGGGAAACGGGUUAAUAUUCCCGUACUUGGUGUUACUGCGAAGGGGGGACGGAGAAGGCUAUGUUGGCCGGGCGACGGUUGUCCCGGUUUAAGCGUGUAGGUGUGUGUUCCAGGUAAAUCCGGUUCACUUUAACACUGAGGCGUGAUGACGAGGCACUACGGUGCUGAAGCAACAAAUGCCCUGCUUCCAGGAAAAGCCUCUAAGCAUCAGGUAACAUCAAAUCGUACCCCAAACCGACACAGGUGGUCAGGUAGAGAAUACCAAGGCGCUUGAGAGAACUCGGGUGAAGGAACUAGGCAAAAUGGUGCCGUAACUUCGGGAGAAGGCACGCUGAUAUGUAGGUGAAGCGGUUUACCCGUGGAGCUGAAAUCAGUCGAAGAUACCAGCUGGCUGCAACUGUUUAUUAAAAACACAGCACUGUGCAAACACGAAAGUGGACGUAUACGGUGUGACGCCUGCCCGGUGCCNGGAGCUGAAGUCAGUCGAAGAUACCAGCUGGCUGCAACUGUUUAUUAAAAACACAGCACUGUGCAAACACGAAAGUGGACGUAUACGGUGUGACGCCUGCCCGGUGCCGGAAGGUUAAUUGAUGGGGUCAGCGCAAGCGAAGCUCCUGAUCGAAGCCCCGGUAAACGGCGGCCGUAACUAUAACGGUCCUAAGGUAGCGAAAUUCCUUGUCGGGUAAGUUCCGACCUGCACGAAUGGCGUAAUGAUGGCCAGGCUGUCUCCACCCGAGACUCAGUGAAAUUGAACUCGCUGUGAAGAUGCAGUGUACCCGCGGCAAGACGGAAAGACCCCGUGAACCUUUACUAUAGCUUGACACUGAACAUUGAGCCUUGAUGUGUAGGAUAGGUGGGAGGCUUUGAAGCGUGGACGCCAGUCUGCGUGGAGCCGACCUUGAAAUACCACCCUUUAAUGUUUGAUGUUCUAACGUGGACCCGU